UGAAUACGAGACGCUACGGCGUCGAAGCAGUCUAUGUCAUACUUCCAAGAAAAGCUCGCAAUGUCAUAAACAAAUAAUGCCUGUACCAUAACCGACACAGGUGGGUAGGUAGAGUAUACUAAGGGGCGCGAGAUAACUCUCUCUAAGGAACUCGGCAAAAUGACUCCGUAACUUCGGGAGAAGGAGUGCCUUAUUUAUAAGGUUGCAAUAACAAGAUCCAAGCAACUGUUUAUCAAAAACACAGGUCUCCGCUAAGUCGUAAGACGAUGUAUGGGGGCUGACGCCUGCCCAGUGCCAGAAGGUUAAAGAAGUUGGUUAGCAUUCGCGAAGCUGAUAACUGAAGCCCUGGUGAACGGCGGCCGUAACGAUAACGGUCCUAAGGUAGCGAAAUUCCUUGUCGGGUAAGUUCCGACCCGCACGAAAGGCGUAAUGAUUUGGAUACUGUCUCGGAGAGGGGCUCGGUGAAAUAGACUUGUCUGUGAAGAUGCGGACUACCUGCACCUGGACAGAAAGACCCUAUGAAGCUUUACUGUAACUUGAAAUUGAAAUUGGACUUUAUUUGCGCAGCAUAGGUGGGAGGCGUUGAGAGUAUUCUUGCGGGAAUAUUGGAGCCAUCAGUGAGAUACCACUCUUGUAAUGUUAGAUUUCUAACUUUGGAUCAUUAUCUGGUCAGAGAACAGUUUCAGGCGGGCAGUUUGACUGGGGCGGUCGCCUCCCAAAUGGUAACGGAGGCGUACAAAGGUUUCCUCUGAACGGGUAGAAAUCGUAUCUAGAGUGUAAAGGCAUAAGGAAGCUUGACUGUGAGACCUACAAGUCGAGCAGGGACGAAAGUCGGUCUUAGUGAUCUGACGGUGCUGAGUGGAAAGGCCGUCACUCAACGGAUAAGAGUUACUCUAGGAUAACAGGCUGAUCUCCCCCAAGAGUUCACAUCGACGGGGAGGUUUGGCACCUCGAUGUCGGCUCAUCGCAUCCUGGGGCGGUAGUACGUCCCAAGGGUUGGGCUGUUCGCCCAUGAAAGCGGUACGCGAGCUGGGUUCAGAACGUCGUGAGACAGUUCGGUCCAUAUCCGGUGUAGGCGUUAGAAUAUUGAGAGGAGCCUUCUUUAGUACGAGAGGACCGAGAAGGACAUACCUCUGGUGUACCAGUUAUCGUGCCAACGGUAAACGCUGGGUAGCUAUGUAUGGAGAGGAUAACCGCUGAAAGCAUCUAAGUGGGAAGCCCACCUCAAGAUAAGUAUUCUC
rnacentral:rRNA from 1 species